UCUCUGAUGGUUCAGUGGUUAGGACACUGCAUUUUCACUGUGAGGGCCCAGGUUCAAUCCCUGGUCAGGGAA